rnacentral:rRNA from 1 species
AUUGAACGCUGGCGGCAUGCUUUACACAUGCAAGUCGAACGGACUUAGGGGCUUGCUCCUGAGUUAGUGGCGAACGGGUGAGUAAUGCAUCGGAACGUACCGUGUAGUGGGGGAUAACGCAGCGAAAGUUGUGCUAAUACCGCAUACGAUCUACGGAUGAAAGCAGGGGAUCGCAAGACCUUGUGCUAUACGAGCGGCCGAUGUCGGAUUAGCUAGUUGGUGAGGUAAAGGCUCACCAAGGCGACGAUCCGUAGCGGGUCUGAGAGGAUGAUCCGCCACACUGGGACUGAGACACGGCCCAGACUCCUACGGGAGGCAGCAGUGGGGAAUUUUGGACAAUGGGCGCAAGCCUGAUCCAGCCAUGCCGCGUGAGUGAAGAAGG